rnacentral:rRNA from 1 species
GUGGGGAAUUUUGGACAAUGGGCGCAAGCCUGAUCCAGCAAUGCCGCGUGCAGGAAGAAGGCCUUCGGGUUGUAAACUGCUUUUGUACGGAACGAAACGGUCCUGGUUAAUACCUGGGGCUAAUGACGGUACCGUAAGAAUAAGCACCGGCUAACUACGUGCCAGCAGCCGCGGUAAUACGUAGGGUGCGAGCGUUAAUCGGAAUUACUGGGCGUAAAGCGUGCGCAGGCGGUGCUGUAAGGCAGGCGUGAAAUCCCCGGGCUCAACCUGGGAAUUGCGCUUGUGACUGCAGUGCUGGAGUACGGCAGAGGGGGAUGGAAUUCCGCGUGUAGCAGUGAAAUGCGUAGAUAUGCGGAGGAACACCGAUGGCGAAGGCAGUCCCCUGGGCCUGUACUGACGCUCAUGCACGAAAGCGUGGGGAGCAAACAGGAUUAGAUACCCUGGUAGUCC